rnacentral:rRNA from 1 species
CUGAUGGAUGGACCCGCGGUGCAUUAGCUAGUUGGUGAGGUAACGGCUCACCAAGGCCACGAUGCAUAGCCGACCUGAGAGGGUGAUCGGCCACAUUGGGACUGAGACACGGCCCAAACUCCUACGGGAGGCAGCAGUAGGGAAUCUUCGGCAAUGGACGAAAGUCUGACCGAGCAACGCCGCGUGAGUGAAGAAGGUUUUCGGAUCGUAAAACUCUGUUGUUAGAGAAGAACAAGGAUGAGAGUAACUGUUCAUCCCUUGACGGUAUCUAACCAGAAAGCCACGGCUAACUACGUGCCAGCAGCCGCGGUAAUACGUAGGUGGCAAGCGUUGUCCGGAUUUAUUGGGCGUAAAGCGAGCGCAGGCGGUUUCUUAAGUCUGAUGUGAAAGCCCCCGGCUCAACCGGGGAGGGUCAUUGGAAACUGGGAGACUUGAGUGCAGAAGAGGAGAGUGGAAUUCCAUGUGUAGCGGUGAAAUGCGUAGAUAUAUGGAGGAACACCAGUGGCGAAGGCGGCUCUCUGGUCUGUAACUGACGCUGAGGCUCGAAAGCGUGGGGAGCAAACAGGAUUAGAUACCCUGGUAGUCCACGCCGUAAACGAUGAGUGCUAAGUGUUGGAGGGUUUCCGCCCUUCAGUGCUGCAGCUAACGCAUUAAGCACUCCGCCUGGGGAGUACGACCGCAAGGUUGAAACUCAAAGGAAUUGACGGGGGCCCGCACAAGCGGUGGAGCAUGUGGUUUAAUUCGAAGCAACGCGAAGAACCUUACCAGGUCUUGACAUCCUUUGACCACUCUAGAGAUAGAGCUUCCCCUUCGGGGGCAAAGUGACAGGUGGUGCAUGGUUGUCGUCAGCUCGUGUCGUGAGAUGUUGGGUUAAGUCCCGCAACGAGCGCAACCCUUAUUGUUAGUUGCCAUCAUUCAGUUGGGCACUCUAGCAAGACUGCCGGUGACAAACCGGAGGAAGGUGGGGAUGACGUCAAAUCAUCAUGCCCCUUAUGACCUGGGCUACACACGUGCUACAAUGGGAAGUACAACGAGUCGCGAAGUCGCGAGGCUAAGCUAAUCUCUUAAAGCUUCUCUCAGUUCGGAUUGCAGGCUGCAACUCGCCUGCAUGAAGCCGGAAUCGCUAGUAAUCGCGGAUCAGCACGCCGCGGUGAAUACGUUCCCGGGCCUUGUACACACCGCCCGUCACACCACGAGAGUUUGUAACACCCGAAGUCGGUGAGGUAACCUUUUGGAGCCAGCCGCCUAAGGUGGGAUAGAUGAUUGGGGUGAAGUCGUAACAAGGUAGCCGUAUCGGAAGGUGCGGCUGGAUCACCUCCUUUCUAAGGAA